rnacentral:rRNA from 1 species
GUGCCAGCAGCCGCGGUAACACGGGGGGAGCAAGCGUUGUUCGGAAUCACUGGGCGUAAAGGGCGUGUAGGCGGCCAAGUAAGUGAGAUGUGAAAUUCCCCGGCUCACCCGGGGACCUGCAUCUCAUACUGCCUGGCUUGAGUACGGGAGAGGAUGUGGGAAUUCCUGGUGUAGCGGUGAAAUGCGUAGAUAUCAGGAGGAACACCGGUGGCGAAAGCGCACAUCUGGCCCGAUACUGACGCUGAGGCGCGAAAGCUAGGGGAGCAAACGGGAUUAGAAACCCCCGUAGUCC